AUUGAACGCUGGCGGCAUGCCUUACACAUGCAAGUCGAACGGCAGCGCGGGGCAACCUGGCGGCGAGUGGCGAACGGGUGAGUAAUAUAUCGGAACGUACCCUGGAGUGGGGGAUAACGUAGCGAAAGUUACGCUAAUACCGCAUACGAUCCAAGGAUGAAAGCAGGGGACCGCAAGGCCUUGUGCUCCAGGAGCGGCCGAUAUCUGAUUAGCUAGUUGGUGGGGUAAAGGCCUACCAAGGCAUCGAUCAGUAGCUGGUCUGAGAGGACGACCAGCCACACUGGAACUGAGACACGGUCCAGACUCCUACGGGAGGCAGCAGUGGGGAAUUUUGGACAAUGGGCGCAAGCCUGAUCCAGCAAUGCCGCGUGAGUGAAGAAGGCCUUCGGUUGU
rnacentral:rRNA from 1 species